GUGAGGAAUAUUGGUCAAUGGGCGGGAGCCUGAACCAGCCAAGUCGCGUGAAGGAAGAAGGAUCUAUGGUUCGUAAACUUCUUUUGCAGGGGAAUAAAGUGCAGGACGUGUCCUGUUUUGUAUGUACCCUGAGAAUAAGGAUCGGCUAACUCCGUGCCAGCAGCCGCGGUAAUACGGAGGAUCCGAGCGUUAUCCGGAUUUAUUGGGUUUAAAGGGUGCGUAGGUGGUUUGAUAAGUCAGCGGUGAAAGUUUGCAGCUUAACUGUAAAAAUGCCGUUGAGACUGUCGGACUUGAGUGUAAAUGAGGUAGGCGGAAUGCGUGGUGUAGCGGUGAAAUGCAUAGAUAUCACGCAGAACUCCGAUUGCGAAGGCAGCUUACUAAGCUACAACUGACACUGAAGCACGAAAGCGUGGGGAUCAAACAGGAUUAGAUACCCCGGUAGUCC
rnacentral:rRNA from 1 species